rnacentral:rRNA from 1 species
UACGUAGGGGGCAAGCGUUGUCCGGAUUUAUUGGGCGUAAAGAGCGUGUAGGCGGCCAAGCAGGUCCGCUGUGAAAACUCGAGGCUCAACCUCGAGAGGUCGGUGGAAACCGUUUGGCUAGAGUCCGGAAGAGGAGAGUGGAAUUCCCGGUGUAGCGGUGAAAUGCGCAGAUAUCGGGAAGAACACCCGUGGCGAAGGCGGCUUCCUGGUCCAGCACCGACGUUCAGGCACGAAAGCGUGGGGAGCAAACAGG